GCUGCCCCUCGAGGCGUUGCAGGUGUGGCUGCGGUGCCCGGCUGCGUCGGUAGGUGGCACACAGGAGACAGGCCUGUCUACACCCAGUGCUCUGACCCGUGGGCUCUGGAUGGUUAAUGGUCUGACAUG